CCUACGGGUGGCAGCAGUGAGGAAUAUUGGUCAAUGGGCGCAAGCCUGAACCAGCCAAGUCGCGUGAGGGAUGACGGUCCUAUGGAUUGUAAACCUCUUUUGUCGGGGAGCAAGGCCCGCCACGUGUGGCGGGAAGGAGAGGACCCGAAGAAAAAGCAUCGGCUAACUCCGUGCCAGCAGCCGCGGUAAUACGGAGGAUGCGAGCGUUAUCCGGAUUUCUUGGGUUGAAAGGGGGAGUAGGCGGAAGGUUAAGUCAGCGGUCAAAUGUCGGGGCUCAACACCGGCCGGCCGUUGAAACUGGUCUUCUUGCGUGCUCGAGAAGUAUGCUGAAUGCGUGGUGUAGCGGUGACAUGCAUAGAUAUCACGCAGAACUCCGAUUGC
rnacentral:rRNA from 1 species